rnacentral:misc_RNA from 1 species
UGAAUCCAGACAGUUCUUGGAGAUUUGAGAGCCUUACUAUUCCUUGGGGAAUUUGUUGAAUGGGACAAUACCCUAUAUCCAAGACCGUCAGCUUCUGCAAGGCAAUAAUGGACGAGGGCAGUUUUUGCAGAUUAUUGCAUCCAGACAAAACCAAAAGCUGGAGGUUGCGAAGCCUUCCAAUCGAAUAUGGCAGUUCUUUUAGGGCAGAAACCCCCCUUAAAUUCAGAUAUGCUAGGCGUUCAAGGGAACUGAUCCAAUUCAAUAGGUCAUCCAUGCUAAUAUUUUCCAUUCUGUUUUGUGAGAAAUCCAACACCCUGAGGG